rnacentral:rRNA from 2 species
CACGCGGUAAACGAUGAUUACUGGCUGUUCGCGAUACACUGUGAGCGGCCCAGCGAAAGCGUUAAGUAAUCCACCUGGGGAGUACGUUCGCAAGAAUGAAACUCAAAGGAAUUGACGGGGGCCCGCACAAGCGGAGGAACAUGUGGUUUAAUUCGAUGAUACGCGAGGAACCUUACCCGGGCUUGAAAUGCGGACGACCGGCGGUGAGACCCGCCUUCCUUUCGGGGCGUCCGCGUAGGUGC